AGUGAACGCUGGCGGCAGGCCUAAUACAUGCAAGUCGAACGGCAGCACAGUGGAGCUUGCUCCAUGGGUGGCGAGUGGCGGACGGGUGAGGAAUACAUGGGAAUCUGCCCAGUCGUGGGGAUAACGUAUGGAAACGUACGCUAAUACCGCAUGCGCCCUUCGGGGGAAAGUCGGGGACCGCAAGGCCUGACGCGAUUGGAUGAGCCCAUGUUCGAUUAGCUAGUUGGCGGGUAACGGCCCACCAAGGCGACGAUCGAUAGCUGGUCUGAGAGGAUGAUCAGCCACACUGGAACUGAGACACGGUCCAGACUCCUACGGGAGGCAGCAGUAGGGAAUAUUGGACAAUGGGCGCAAGCCUGAUCCAGCCAUGCCGCGUGAGUGAAGAAGGCCCUCGGGUUGUAAAGCUCUUUUGUUGGGGAAGAAAGGCAGUUGGUUAAUACCCGAUUGUUCUGACGGUACCCAAAGAAUAAGCACCGGCUAACUUCGUGCCAGCAGCCG
rnacentral:rRNA from 1 species